UGCCAGCAGCCGCGGUAAUACGGGGGGAGCAAGCGUUGUCCGGAAUUACUGGGCGUAAAGGGCGUGUAGGUGGCCUGGUCAGUCAGAUGUGAAAGCCCGCGGCUUAACCGCGGAACUGCAUUUGAAACUGCCAGGCUUGAGUGCGAGAGAGGGUAGCGGAAUUCCGAGUGUAGAGGUGAAAUUCGUAGAUAUUCGGAGGAACACCAGUGGCGAAGGCGGCUCACUGGCUCGAUACUGACGCUGAGGUACGAAAGUGUGGGGAGCAAACAGGAUUAGAUA
rnacentral:rRNA from 1 species